rnacentral:rRNA from 1 species
GACGAACGCUGGCGGCGUGCCUAAUACAUGCAAGUCGAGCGCAGGAAACUGACGGAACUCUUCGGAGGGAAGGCAGCGGAAUGAGCGGCGGACGGGUGAGUAACACGUAAGGAACCUGCCUCAAGGAUUGGGAUAACUCCGAGAAAUCGGAGCUAAUACCGGAUAGUUCAACGGACCGCAUGGUCCGCUGAUGAAAGGCGCUUCGGCGUCACCUUGAGCUGGCCUUGCGGUGCAUUAGCUAGUUGGUGGGGUAACGGCCCACCAAGGCGACGAUGCAUAGCCGACCUGAGAGGGUGAUCGGCCACGCUGGGACUGAGACACGGCCCAGACUCCUACGGGAGGCAGCAGUAGGGAAUCUUCCACAAUGGACGAAAGUCUGAUGGAACAACGCCGCGUGAGUGAUGAAGGUUUUCGGAUCGUAAAACUCUGUUGUAAGGGAAGAACACGUACGAGAGGAAAUGCUCGUACCUUGACGGUACCUUACGAGAAAGCCACGGCUAACUACGUGCCAGCAGCCGCCGUAACAC